rfam:Ktedonobacter sp. 13_2_20CM_53_11 13_2_20cm_scaffold_7886, whole genome shotgun sequence.
UGGAUGGCGAGUUUGAUCCUGGCUCAGGAUAAACGCUGGCGGCGUGCCUAACACAUGCAAGUCGAACGCGCUCCCCUCCUUCGGGGGGGGAGCGAGUGGCGGACGGGUGAGUAAGACGUGGGUCACCUACCUUUCAGUGAGGGAUACCGGCGAGAAAUCGCCGACAAUCCCGCAUACGCUUGGCGCUCUGCAACGAGUGCCAAGCAAAGCUCUGCAAAGGGCGCUGGGAGAUGGGCCCGCGGCCGAUUAGCUGGUUGGUGGGGUAAAAGCUCACCAAGGCGACGAUCGGUAGCUGGUCUGAGAGGACGAUCAGCCACACUGGGAUUGAGAACGGCCCAGACUCCUACGGGGGGCAGCAGUGAGGAAAGGUCUUCGGAUCGUAAACUGCUUUUCUCUGGGACGAGGACGGACGGUACCAGAGGAACAAGCCCCGGCUAACUACGUGCCAGCAGCCGCGGUAAUACGUAGGGGGCGAGCGUUGUCCGGAGUUACUGGGCGUAAAGCGCACGCAGGCGGUGCUGCGCGUUUGGGGUUACAGCUCCCGGCUCAACCGGGAGAGCGCCUCGAAGACGGCAGCACUUGAGGGCCAGAGAGGGACACGGAACUCCGGGUGGAGUGGUGAAAUGCGUAGAUAUCCGGAAGAACACCAAAGGCGAAGGCAGUGUCCUGGCUGGUACCUGACGCUCAGGUGCGAAAGCUAGGGGAGCGAACGGGAUUAGAUACCCCGGUAGUCC